GAUGAACGCUGGCGGCGUGCCUAAUACAUGCAAGUCGAGCGAAUGGAUUUAGAGCUUGCUCUUAUGAAGUUAGCGGCGGACGGGUGAGUAACACGUGAGUAACCUGCCCAUAAGACUGGGAUAACUCCGGGAAACCGGGGCUAAUACCGGAUAACAUUUUGAACCGCAUGGUUCGAAAUUGAAAGGCGGCUUCGGCUGUCACUUAUGGAUGGACCCGGGUCGCAUUAGCUAGUUGGUUAGGUAACGGCUCACCAAGGCAACGAUGCGUAGCCGACCUGAGAGGGUGAUCGGCCACACUGGGACUGAGACACGGCCCAGACUCCUACGGGAGGCAGCAGUAGGGAAUCUUCCGCAAUGGACGAAAGUCUGACGGAGCAACGCCGCGUGAGUGAUGAAGGCUUUCGGGUCGUAAAACUCUGUUGUUAGGGAAGAACAAGUGCUAGUUGAAUAAGCUGGCACCUUGACGGUACCUAACCAGAAAGCCACGGCUAACUACGUGCCAGCCGCCGCGGUAA
rnacentral:rRNA from 1 species